rnacentral:rRNA from 1 species
CCUACGGGUGGCAGCAGUGGGGGAUAUUGGACAAUGGGGGGAACCCUGAUCCAGCGACGCCGCGUGAGUGAAGAAGUAUUUCGGUAUGUAAAGCUCUGUCAGCAGGGAAGAAAGCAAUGACGGUACCUGACCAAGAAGCCCCGGCUAACUACGUGCCAGCAGCCGCGGUAAUACGUAGGGGGCAAGCGUUAUCCGGAAGUACUGGGUGUAAAGGGAGAGUAGACGGCUGUGCAAGUCAGGAGUGAAAGGCGGGGGCCGAACGGGAAAAGUGCUGGGGAAACGGGAUGGCGGGAGGGCAGGAGAGGUGGGCGAAAGUCGUGGGGGAGGGGGGAAAGGAGUAGAGAGAAGGAAGAAACAGGAGGGGGAAGGGAGUUCACGGGACUGAAAGGGAGAUGGAGGCUGGAAAGUGGGGGUAUAAAAAAGGAUGAGAGACCCGGGUAGCC